GAUGAACGCUGGCGGCGUGCCUAAUACAUGCAAGUCGAGCGAACAGACGAGGAGCUUGCUCCUCUGACGUUAGCGGCGGACGGGUGAGUAACACGUGGAUAACCUACCUAUAAGACUGGGAUAACUUCGGGAAACCGGAGCUAAUCCCGGAUAAUAUAUUGAACCGCAUGGUUCAAUAGUGAAAGACGGUUUUGCUGUCACUUAUAGAUGGAUCCGCGCCGCAUUAGCUAGUUGGUAAGGUAACGGCUUACCAAGGCUACGAUGCGUAGCCGACCUGAGAGGGUGAUCGGCCACACUGGAACGGAGACACGGUCCAGACGCCUACGGGAGGCAGCAGUAGGGAAUCUUCCGCAAUGGGCGAAAGCCUGACGGAGCAACGCCGCGUGAGUGAUGAAGGUCUUCGGAUCGUAAAACUCUGUUAUGAGGGAAGAACAAAUGUGUAAGUAACUAUGCACGUCUUGACGGUACCUAAUCAGAAAGCCACGGCUAACUACGUG
rnacentral:rRNA from 1 species